CCCUUUGGCUGCUGAGAUGCAGACAUGAGAGCCAGGCAGACCCAGGAGCCCGGGAGGAGGCAGCCACGGGCCUCUAUCCAGGUGAGAAACGGUGUGGAUUGCAGCAUGGUGGAGCGACAGGUAUCCAGAAGGAUUCCUGCUUUCCUUGCUUGAGCUCCCGCCGUGCUUUCUGUCCUGGCCCCCUCGGGCCAUCGCGGUGGGGACAGAGAGGAUGGGGGAAGGACAGAGCUGACUGCAGAUGGCCAGGGACGGCUGCGAAGGGUGUGAGAGCUGGCCGAGAGCAGGCCCUCGACCUUGGCUUGGCAGGAGCCAGGACCCCCACGGCCGCACUCUGGCCAGCGGGGAGGGUAGACAGACAUUCACAGGCUUCCCAGGCUGAGCAGGGCAGGGCCGCCUCCACGUCCUGUCUCCCACAGAGGCUCAGAUCCAUGCGAGGGCAGGCGCAGUGUUAUUCCAGCUGAAGACGGCAGGGACCCUCCCAGCACGGCACAGGCAGAGAGUGGGCAGGACAUUCCUGUGCUGGACGGGGGCUAGGCCGUGGGGGUGCCAAAGAUCCCCGUCAUCUGGUGGAAUAUUCCGCACGGACUGGGCUUCGGUCCUGGGGGGAGGGCGCUGGAAAGGGCGUCUGGGUGCCCCAGGACCUAGUGGUGGCCUAUUUGAGUGUCUGGGUUCCUGGGAGCAGUGCUUGGGGAAGCCAAGAUAGGUGAUUAUUCACAAAUAAGCCGGGAUGGCGGAGAAAGAGAGGGAGGGCAAAAGGGGAGAUAAAACCGGGAAGUGGAGACCGCGUCAGGCGGAGCCAGGAGUGAGCGUUUCCUCGCGCACGUCUCUGCAUAACUCAUGGCCCUGCUAUUUGCUGAGCGCCUGCGUGGGGCCAGACUCUGUGCUCCCCCAACCCCCCCCCCCAGUCUCCUGUGUUCACCCCACAGCCUGGGAUGUUCUCUCCGCUCCCCCGACCCAAGGAUGGGCCAAGGGCUUCCUCCCCCUGAGAACAAAGCCCUCCUCUCUCUCCAGGGUAUUGCUGUGGAUCUUGUCUGUCUUGUGUGAGCUCCAGGCUUCUCCAUCCAGGAGCCUCCUGCCCUCUGGGGGCAUUUGGGGGUGUCGGGGGGCAUAUCUGGUUGUCCAGACUCGGUGAGGCAGGGGAUGCCCCUGGCACGGGGUGGGUAGGGACCAGAGAUGCCGCUGAAAUCCAGCAAUGCCCAGGAUGGCCGGCCGCAAGGAAGGACCCGUCCCAGAUGUCGGUGGUGCGGAGGGUGGGAAGCCCAGUUCUGGGGGCGACGGAGGGUGGGCGUCUUGGGUGGAAGCAUGUUCCUCCCACCACUGCUGGCCCCGGCUUCAGGCGCUCUCCAGGUGCCAGCAGCCGUCCUAACCUUGCUACUGUGGUGUCCUCUCUUCCCCUCAGCCCUUGCCAAAAAAACAGAAAACUGCCCCAUUUGACAGUUAAAAGAAAAUUCCAUCUCCACUUAGCCUGCACACACUGAAAUGUCACCUCCUCCGGGAAGGCCAUCCUGACCUCUCUCUGCCCAAACCACACUCUGCUCUGCUCUUUGCCGGCCCCUCCACCUGGCCGUCGAUCGGCAGUGGCACAUGAAUGUUGCCAACAACCGGGCCGAUGCAUUUGGGAGUGGACCCUCCCCCAGCUGAGCUUCCGGAUGAGAACACAGCUCUACAGACACCUGAGUUGCAGCAUUUUGAGACCCUCAUGAGAGAACCCAACUAAGCCGCGCCCACACUCCAACCCAUGGGAACAAUUGUGAGGUCAUAAAAACGUGCUGCUUGAAGCCA